rnacentral:rRNA from 1 species
UACAGAGGUCUCAAGCGUUGUUCGGAUUCAUUGGGCGUAAAGGGUGCGUAGGCGGCGCGGUAAGUCGGGUGUGAAAUCUCGGAGCUUAACUCCGAAACUGCAUUCGAUACUGCCGUGCUUGAGGACUGGAGAGGAGACUGGAAUUUACGGUGUAGCGGUGAAAUGCGUAGAUAUCGUAAGGAAGACCAGUGGCGAAGGCGGGUAUCUGGACAGUUCCUGACGCUGAGGCACGAAGGUCAGGGGAGCAAACGGG